GUAGCGUCAGCGGGCGGUGCCCGUACUGCGGCGGUGAGGCCGCUGCUCCGCGGCCGUGGGAGCUCGGUGGUUCACGGUGUGGCGCUGAAGUAAACCCACUAAAGCUACACAGAAGUUUAUCCGCGUGUGGAACCCGUGUCAAAAAAAUUCCCUGCGCGGUUGCCAGCGCUGCGGGGAGGCAGGUGCUAGAAUGUUUCUGAGCUGGGGCUCUUGGCGGCUGGCGAGCCCUUGUGCUGCCGCUCCGUCCUGUUCUCACACCGGCCGGCAGCCGCGUUCCCCUUGAACUCCCUCUUGUCCGGCCUUGGGCAUGACUAUCUAAAAGUGUUACCUCAGACUUCAAACCUGUCUGAGAACCGGCUCGGCCGCCCCUCCACAGAAGGGCUGGUGCCGCCCCCAGCCCAGCCCCGGGGCCGCUGUUCCCAGAGCCCGCCCUGCGCCUCGGACCGGGAUGUGCAGGUGGGGCCGUCGCUAAAUCUCCACAGCUGCCUGCCUGACACCGCCUCUCUCCACUCUGUCGAACACACUCGCAGCUGGGCCAGAAAACGCCUGGAGCUUUAUACUGCAACAGAGCAGGCUCGGAAGACAAGGUGAUGUUCUGUGUGAGCUGUGCUGCUGCACACUCUCUAGGACGGGCAAUUACCUGUUUCUGGUCAGUCAUGCUUACCUACUUACUCCUCAGCCGCUUUUAAUUCCUGUUACAGUCACCCACGACUGUGUUCUCUCGAGUCGAUGUCUACAAGCCAGAACUGUCAGCUGCGAAGAUCUGACUUGAGUACCUGACUGAAGGACAACCAACCGCAAAGCCAGAAGCGGCAGUUUGUACAUCCAAGAUGUACUCAAAAACUUCCCCUCUAAAGACAAGGCCUCUUGACAGGUCAUACUGCUAUUACUAAAGCGUGAUCCACCUCUGAGAUGACUCUCUUUAUACAGCACAGCUGGAGCGAUCUCAAGAUCAACAAUACUGUUUGUUCAUGUCGGUGGCUCAAGUCAGUCAACUUUACUGUCUGCUGCCACCACACUGUCAUGUCUUCACCACAUGCUUACGAACUGCUUUGUCCUCUUUAAAACCGGUGACGUGGUAUUUCAGAACAGGAGGCUGAUAACUACAAGCACACAUACACACACACGCAAAACCCGGUAUUCACAAAGAAUCCAAGCCAAAUAGCAAAAUUAAGUUCCAAUGGGAUUCAAAAGAGUUCAUUCCAUACAUCAACACCCAAAUGUGGGCAGCAAGCAGCAGUGCUUAAUACAACAGAAGAAAUGGGGUGAUUGUAUAUUCCUCUGGCAGUUUACUUGCCUGGGUUCGUAAUAUUCUUAGCUGGACUAUUCCUUCAUUUUCCUCUUCCCGCAUUCUCUCUGUAGUAAGUUGCAAUCGACCAAUCAAAUUUAUCUUGCCCCUUUUUUGAACUUUAGCGUUUUUUCUGAAAAAGUUGUAUUGUAUGAAAAUAAGCACAAAAUGCAUUUUCAAUUAAGGAAUUCCUAUUAAACUCAAGUGACAGCAGCAAGGAGUACCAUCACAUAUCAGAUAUUUACAGGCUAUUAGCAUGGCAGUAGUGAGACAGCAUCAUAGAAUCAGAUACCUGGCUGACAAAUCAAACGUCAACGUCAAUGUCUCCGCACAAUAAACCUGAAUGUACUAGCAUCAGUUAAAAAAAAAAUCCAUCAGAUGAAACUGACAGUGUCCAAAGUUGAAAAAUCACCAGUACUAUUUUAAAGACUAAAGUUCCAGAGAAAUAUAUUUCAGUUUAACGAUAUAAGCCUAGGGUUCUUUAGAGGAAGUUUUUACAACAAAGUUCAGGAAACGCGACUAGCUUGAUUUUCAUCAGAACUGUCUGUCUAGCAGAAAAAAAAGACAAAUAACAGCUGUUGUAACAAAGACAGCAAAAAGCUGAUGGCAUUCUUCAGUGGCUACCCACAAACUUUCUGUACAGCCUGUCUCUUCUGCCAUGCCCUCUUGCUUCCCAAAGCUCAUGAUCCUGAUGACGGGAACAAACAUCAUGGCCCUGGGCAAGAAAUGAAGCCCCAAGAGAGCAGAGUCAUCACCUCUCACUCUUCACAAAUCCAAAUAUGCAGCUGCUACUGAGAAUGAGGCCCUGAAUCUGAGGUUGCCAGCAAGCAGCAAGUUCUAAUCAUAAUCAUUGGUAACAGAGGGAGGCAAAACCCAAAGUAAAACAUGCUGAAUGUAGUAUAUAUGAUUUAGAUAUUAUCUCUUUAUAGUAUCUUAUGCUCUGAUGGUUUUCAAAGCACCAGUGAAAGAGUGCUGCAGUUCUCACUUCAAUACAGACACUCUCUGGUGAAAGCCAUGCCAAAAACCCCAGCUUUUGACAGUAUACCGUAUUAUUAAGCAUUUGCACUUCCUUUUUUAACUUAUCACGCUAUUUUUGAAACUCUGUGUGUAAUAAUCAAUACAGCACCAGUGCUCUGCUUACAUGCUGUUCCCUCCCAUGUAAAAUUUCAUAGGCUUAUUAGCAACAGGAAGACAGCGAAGCCUCCAAUUUUGCACCUCACCUCUAUGUUUACGAAAUUUAAUUUCACAGAAAUCAGAAUCAUAGAAACAUUUGUCUGAAGGGGCUGCUGGAGGUCAUCUAGCCCAACCACCUACCUGAAGCAUCACUAUUGCCAAAAUUAAGCGAGGAGAGGGCAGCAAAGCAUGUGUCUAGCUGAACCUUGAAAACUCUUAAGGAUGAAGGUUAACUUAAAGUGAAUUCCUUUAAUUAUAAAAUAGUACAUUGUUAUUUUACUUUUCAAACAUCAUCUUACAUUAAACUGAACUCCUGGUUCACCGAGAA